GAGUAAGACAGAUGGACACUUACUUCCAAGGUUCUUUAUUUCUUGCAUAGGAUCAAAUUGACAUUAGGAAAAGUUUUCAGUCAAGAAAAAGAAUAAAAUGCCUCAAAUACUCUAGUAGAAGUAGCAAAAUUUUCCUUGAAUUCCAUUCACUUCCAAGAUUUGUGCAUUGCAGAACCAUAUACACGUCAUGUGGUAUUCUCAUGAAGGCAAAGUAUGAUCAUUGGAGACUUACUCACCACUAAAUGUGUUGUGUCCCAGAGGAAAAUAAAGAGGGAAGCUGUUGCAUACAAAUUACGUGGACAGAGAGAAAUGCUGUAUUUUAGGGUGCUGAUGACAGGUUGGGUUUCCCUUCAACUGGAAGACGUCUCACGAAGGUGAAGUGAGAUUUUCUAGUUUUCUUCAAGGUUUUUCCCUCUACAUAGAAAGGAAAUUUGAAUAGAACUUAGUAUCAC
rnacentral:lncRNA from 13 species